rnacentral:misc_RNA from 1 species
AUUUCUCAAAUUGUAACUAUCUUGCUUUGGCAAUAAAAGAACAUGUUCUAAUUGUCUAAUGCAGGGGCCAGUCUGAACCUGAGCUAAAUUAUUUACACACUUUAAGAUACUAGUGCAUUUUUAUCUGGUUAAAACAAUUGCUGUCGAUCACUGUUUUCCCUGUUGACGAUAUGUGCCUUCUGUUCCUUCCUACUUUUCUUUAAGGUGUGCAUCUUUUCUUUUAUUCAUGCCUAGCCUUCUGUAUCAUUUUCUUAUUUCAUUUUAUCAUUUGGGCUUAG